GUUUCCACAUCUAGUUUUCCCUUUACAAUAUAACAAGUAUACAAGGAAAUCUAUUAUAAAACCGAUCUUCAGCCAACCUCACAUAAGCGGCAUUCUUUUCAACCGACAGAAUUAUAAUGCAUCACUCUCCAUAUUCUCAACCCUAUCAUUAAUCCGAGGAACACAUACUCCUAAAGUUCCAUUUGCAAAAUUAACCGUAUUACCAUCUGCGGUAUAAGUUAAGCUGCCAACAAUCAACCCAUUCAAUUGAGGGGAAGGGACGAUGGAGAGGCCAACGUCGGCGAGGGUUAGGGUUUCGGAAGUGGAGGCGGCAACGGAGGCCUUGAGGGUUUCAAGGAUGACGGAGUCAGGUUCGAGUUUGGAUUCCAUCAAGUCGAAAAUGGAAUCGCCGUUGUUUGCUCGCCGGACCGACGUUUGACGAGUGGAUUUGAAGAAAAUGAUACAACUGGUUGCAGGUUAAGGAGUAAAAAGAGGGCAAAGGAGAGGAGACAUUCAUAACACCACUGUGAGUGGCGAAAAUUUGAUUUUUUUUUUUGUUCGAAAAAACAACCAACAGAAACAAAGUUUGAAACACUAAAAAGACGAAAAUGCACAAAAAAAAAAAGGUUUCAAACUAUAAAUAUCGAGAUACAACAACUCUAUUUUCUUCAGGUCAAACAAAUUUUUGUAGCAUGGAGAUCAAAAGUAAAAUAAUGAGAUGAAUGGGUAGUGUAUUAUAUCAGCAAUAGUAAUAUAGUCAAUAAUUCUUUUUUUUUUCGUGAUUGUUUAUAUACAUUGACGGAGCCAGGAUUUGUAUUAAGUGAGUCAAAAUAUAAAAAAAUAAACUCGUCAAGAAAUUAAGGGUAUCAUUAUAUAGUAUAUAUACAUAUUUUAAAAAAAAUUACCAAGUUAAACAAUACCUUUUGAAUUAUUAAUUAUUGUGACUACAAUAUUUUUUAUGUAAUUUUUAAAUAUGUAAAUUUUAUUUAAAAAAUUUAAAGAUUCGUCAAAAUCAUAAUCAAAAUUUAACUAUCGAAAUCCGAACAAUGCCAAAUAAAUUGGGACCCAGGAAGUUAUAUUACAGUAUGGUCAAUGUUAUCAUGUGAAAAAAAAAACCUAAAAUUUAAAUCCGACUGUCAAAAGAUCUAGCUCUUCAGCAAUUUACUGUAAUGGAGUUGGAUUUAAAAUUCAACCAGUGUUUAAUUACAUUAGGAGAUAGUACGAGGUUUUUGAUUUCAUUCUAUUCUAAGCACGCAAAGUAUUUGCAUUCAUACACACAUAGGAAUUAUCCGAGAAGAUGAAUAUUUUGUUUUUUCUCCCCCUUUAAUUUUUGCUUUAGUCGUGUUGGGCUUUAAAGUGCUUACUGCAAUUGUAACGGUGGUUAAAGAAAUAAAAAAAGAACUUCUCUUUGGCUGCAGUACUAUAACUUCACUUCCAAGUUCAUUCAAAGGCACCAGUGAAUUUUCGGUAAGCAGUAUCAAUAUUUGAAAAAACGAUCGAAUAAAUAAAUCACUAUAAUAACAAGUGACGUCAUUUUUUAUAUUUAUACCUAAUAUUUUUAUUUUGUAUUACUAUCUAUAUAUACAUAUUUAAUAAAAAUUUUGACGAAACGGUGUCACGUGACACCACUCGUCGUAAGGUAUAUUCGCCCACGAGUGACGAGCCAUUACCGACUGUCUGAUGCUUCUAGAGUUUGCUCAUAUCGAAUUGUCCAAAAGCUCAAAGAAAAUAUCAAAGAUUGUAUGUAUAUGUUCAUAUUUCAGUACCAUAUAUUGUUUCAGAAUACACACAUGUGCUAGUUCAUAAAAUAAUGACUAUUGAGGAUAAAAAGCUUUGCUACUAUCUUCAUUGUCUCAACAAAAUUUUGAUGAAAUGCUUGUGCUAGUUCAGCUUCUUCUAUCCUAACUUGCAAUCACUAAUUACGCAUUAAUUACCUCAUUUAUUGUGGAGGGAGACCCUUGUCUUGUCUGAAGAUCGUAUAAAAUUUACGUAAACACCAACUAAAUCUCAGAAGAAGACUGGACGAGCAUUAGGAGAUGUUUAGGUUGAGUUUUGAACCAUAUUUUCCUGAAGCAAUGUGAGUAAAAAAUGUGAUCACAUCUGCUAUGGCGGGACGUUUGGUAGGUUGCUCUUGAACACACAUUCCUGCGACUGUAAGAGCUUGUUGUAAACCUUUUGCUGGAUAAUUGCCUUGAAGCGUUGGAUCUGCCAUUUCUGAGAAUUUCUGAUCUUUUAUCAAGUGUCUUGCCUAACAUGCAAAAUAUCAAUGUGUACAUCAGAAAACUAAAAGUAGCACAAAUUUGUAUAGCAGAAACCAAGUUGGUUAAUUAAAAACAAUUCGUUCUUAUAGAUAUGUUGCUCAAACUCUCCAGAAAUACAGUUGCACCUGUGUCAAAUCUUCCAAAUAUGCACUACUUUUGAAGGACUCGACACAUGCAUUUUGGAGGAUUCGAUACGUACUCAACGACAUUUUUAAAGGAAAAAGACAAUCAUCCCAUUGAAGUUUUGAGGAUUAUUAUAAGAGCAAAAAUAUCUUACCCAUUCAACCAGAUUGUACUCUUCUCCAUCUGUUGAAUUUUCUAUUGCUUUUCUCCCAGUAAGGAUCUCCAGAAGGACAACUCCAAAGCUGUAAAUAUCGGACUUUACACUCAACUCACUGGUCAUGACAUACUCAGGUGCACUAUACCCAAUCGUACCCUCGAAUUUCACAUGUACAUGGCGUUUGCUUCCCAUA
rnacentral:lncRNA from 1 species